CCUCACUGCUAUCGGGAUGGGACUAAGACAUGCUAGUCGAGCGCCUUGAGCUAUGGCAAGGCGCGGCGCACAGCUCAGUAGCACGUGGCUAACCUGCCCUUGGGACAGGGACAACCCCGGGAAACUGGGGCUAAUCCCUGAUGGGUGAGAACUCCUGGAAUGGAUUUUCAUCGAAAAGGUGUUGAAGCAUGCUUUCAACGGCGUCCGAGGAUGGGGCCGCGGCCGAUCAGGUUGUUGGUGAGGCAACGGCUCACCAAGCCUUUAACCGGUACGGGCCGUGAGAGCGGGAGCCCGGAGAUGGGUACUGAGACAAGGACCCAGGCCCUACGGGGCGCAGCAGUCGCGAAAACUCCGCAAUACGCGAAAGCGUGACGGGGCUAUCCCGAGUGCCGUCCGCUGAGGAUGGCUUUUCCCCAGUGUAAUGAGCUGGAGGCAAUAAAAGGGGGGCAAGGAUGGUGUCAGCCGCCGCGGUAAAACCAACUCCUUGAGUGGUGAGGAUUAUUAUUGGGCUUAAAGCGUUCGUAGCUGGCCUGACUAGUCCCGCGUUAAAUCCAACGACCUAAUCGUUGGGCUGCGGGGGACACGGUCAGGCUUGGGGGCGGGAGAGGUUAGCGGUAUUCCCGGGGUAGGGGUGAAAUCUUAUAAUCCCGGGAGGACCACCAGUGGCGAAGGCAGCUAACCAGAACGCGCCCGACGGUGAGGGACGAAAGCUGGGGGAGCGAACCGGAUUAGAUACCCGGGUAGUCCCAGCCGUAAACGAUGCAGGCUAGGUGUUGGCGCGGCUACGUGCCGCUCCAGUGCCGCAAGGAAGCCGUUAAGCCUGCCGCCUGGGAAGUAAGAUCGCAAGAUUGAAACUUAAAGGAAUUGGCGGGGGAGCACCACAAGGGGUGAAGCUUGCGGUUU
rnacentral:rRNA from 1 species